rnacentral:rRNA from 1 species
AUGAACGCUGGCGGCGUGCCUAAUACAUGCCAGUCGAGCGAACGGACGAGAAGCUUGCUUUUCUGAUGUUAGCGGCGGACGGGUGAGUAACCCGUGGAUAACCUACCUAUAAGACUGGGAUAACUUCGGGAAACCGGAGCUAAUACCGGAUAAUAUUUUGAACCGCAUGGUUCAAAAGUGAAAGACGGUCUUGCUGUCACUUAUAGAUGGAUCCGCGCUGCAUUAGCUAGUUGGUAAGGUAACGGCUUACCAAGGCAACGAUGCAUAGCCGACCUGAGAGGGUGAUCGGCCACACUGGAACUGAGACACGGUCCAGACUCCUACGGGAGGCAGCAGUAGGGAAUCUUCCGCAAUGGGCGAAAGCCUGACGGAGCAACGCCGCGUGAGUGAUGAAGGUCUUCGGAUCGUAAAACUCUGUUAUUAGGGAAGAACAUAUGUGUAAGUAACUGUGCACAUCUUGACGGUACCUAAUCAGAAAGCCACGGCUAACUACGUG